rnacentral:rRNA from 1 species
AACGAACGCUGGCGGCAGGCCUAACACAUGCAAGUCGAGCGCCCUUUCGGGGGUGCGGCGGACGGGUGAGUAACGCGUGGGAAUAUGCCCUUCUCUACGGCAUAGCCUCGGGAAACUGAGAGUAAUACCGUAUACGCCCUGUGGGGGAAAGAUUUAUCGGGGAAGGAUUAGCCCGCGUUGGAUUAGGUAGUUGGUGGGGUAAUGGCCUACCAAGCCGACGAUCCAUAGCUGGUUUGAGAGGAUGAUCAGCCACACUGGGACUGAGACACGGCCCAGACUCCUACGGGAGGCAGCAGUGGGGAAUCUUAGACAAUGGGGGCAACCCUGAUCUAGCCAUGCCGCGUGAGUGAUGAAGGCCUUAGGGUUGUAAAGCUCUUUCAGCUGGGAAGAUAAUGACGGUACCAGCAGAAGAAGCCCCGGCUAACUCCGUG